UACGUAGGUCCCGAGCGUUGUCCGGAUUUAUUGGGCGUAAAGCGAGCGCAGGUGGUUUAUUAAGUCUGGUGUAAAAGGCAGUGGCUCAACCAUUGUAUGCAUUGGAAACUGGUAGACUUGAGUGCAGGAGAGGAGAGUGGAAUUCCAUGUGUAGCGGUGAAAUGCGUAGAUAUAUGGAGGAACACCGGUGGCGAAGGCGGCCUGCUGGACUGUAACUGACACUGAGGCUCGAAAGCGUGGGGAGCAAACAGG
rnacentral:rRNA from 1 species